UCCUCCCUUCCUCCCUCCCUUCCUCCCUUCCUCCCUUCCUCCCUUCCUUCCUUCCUUUUCUUUUUUGUUUUUGAAAUUACAUAAUUCUGAGUCUUACAAAUUUUUUCAGUGAACAAGUUCUAGUUUGGGAUGGGGACAUUUUGGGGAGAGGGAGUGUUUUUCACAGUGAUUUUAUUAUUUCUAUGUUUUAAUCCAAGAGCUGCUGCCAGACAGUCCAAACAGUAAAAUCACCAGAUGACAUGCACAUAAUUACACACUCUACCAAGAGUGAACCUCAGAGGUUUCUAAUUUAAAUAUUUUUGAGUAUGUAGAUAAACAAAGUGCUGAGGGCAAAACUUCUGAACUUAAAAUGUUCCUACCCUCCCCUAAAACACAUUAGUGACAUCGCUCCAAUGACCAGUGGCACACUAAGAAAAAAAUCUCUAACAUCCAGAAAGGGCUGAUUUGUGUUAUGUUUUAAUCUGGAUGUUUGGGUAGAGCUUGCAGAACAUGGAGUUUCAGUCUCACAUGGAAAGGACACAGCUGACCAACGUAGUGACCUUCUGUGAUGGUGUAACUGCAUCAAUGGACAAGGGAUGAAGCCCUGAUGUCAUCUGUCUGGACUUCAGUAAGGCCUUUGACGCAGUUCCCACAGCAUCCUUCUCUCCAAAUUGCAAAGAGGCUUUCCAUAUAAUAAUGUUUUUUCAACCAUCUCCUUGGCUAAUAAUUCACUUCUUAAGCAAGCAUCACGUCCUUUUUGCAGAAGAUCAAAACCUUUCUAACAAAAGCUGCCUUAGGUGUCUGCUCGGCUUCAAAACCUUCAUUCCAGCAUGCCUGUCCAGGAUGCCUGCAGUGAUAGUUUAAUCAUGAUUUGAAAAGGCAAAGUCACCAUGCAAACAGGAAGAGGAAAUGUGAUCUUAUAGCACUACUGAAGUUAUAACAUGCCUACAGAGAUCCAAGGAAAAGAAAAGGUUAAAACAGAAAAGAAAGAUCUCUGUCUGUGCAACAUUGAACACGUGCUGUGAUGGCUGGAGUGAAGAGCUGCACCAGAAGUGAUGCUCAUGACAUGACCUGGAAAGCACAGAGGAAAACUGUUACUUUGGUGGGGCUGUAAGGUACAGCGUGAUAAAACCAGCCUUAGAGUGCAGCCAUGCACGUUGUCACACCGAACUGGCAUUGCAGACAGUGAGGAAGGACUGCUGGGACUUCAUCCCACCCGGCAGAUUUUCUUGGCUUCUCUUACAGCACUGGGCACGGUUAGAAACUGAGCACUGAUCCUCUGGCCUGUAUGAGCUCUAGAUUUGAGCUGACUUUGUAUAUUUGCAACUUCAUUAUUUUUGCUGCAGCAAGAAUUUCAGUCAGAUGGAUUAGCUCAUAUGCUGAAGAGUCAGAGGGAGCAAUCUUUGAUUUACUGUAGUUUUUCACUGCAACCUUAAGUAUCUCUCCUCCUGGCUGAUUUGUAAGGGGUCUGUGCCUUCUACAAACGUGGAAGUAAGCAUUUUGCCUGAUAGAAAAUGAACGGAUUGUACAGAAGCAAAACAUACUGUGGAUGAGGAACUGUUUUUUAUUGAAGUGCUGGGUUGCCUGGCCUAAAUCCUUCAGAAAGCAGUUCUGAAAACUAGCAAAUAGCCCCUGUUAAUGCCCAAUCAGUUUGGGUGAGAGGAAUUACCAACCUCAAAUUUUGUUCAUGUUGCAAAUGAAGCAGUUCUGUUUUAGAAAUACCUUUUCUCUGUAAGCUGCUGAGGGAGAGCUGCAAAGACAAGAAAGGAUGAAAACAUCAACAGAGCAAUGGCCCCUCUCACAGACAAAAAGCUCCACUUUUAAACAGCUUCCCCUGAGCAGGAAACAUCCAUUUUUCACUAUCCAGAGCAAUAGCUUGCACAGUACUUGAUUUAAAUGGAACUGCAGUUUUAAUGGAACCCUAACUCUAUGAGCAUGAUAGGGUGAAAUUAACACUCAUCUUUAGUUUGUGAGGUUACCGAAACACUAAAUGUAAUUUCAUUUUGGACAGAAAACACCAAGAGUUCUGGCCAGACAACGCCCUCAGCACAGGUUGGAGUAAAUAAGAUAAACACUCUAGAAAACGCUGGCUUAUGUCUCAAAAGUUAACAAAAAAUGUAACUGGUAAUCUUUUUUUUUUCUCAGUACCUUAUCAGUCUACCAUGUUUAUUGCAAAUCAUGUCAUAAUCCAAUUCAAUAAAACUUGAAAUAGAAGAUUAAAUAAGGACAGAAAAGAGGAUAUAAAUUCCUUUCAUGUCAAUGUCAUCCCUCCUACAUACUUUAAUAUGACUGUGUUGAAGCUAAAAUACCUAGAAUUGGCUGCGGAAUUUAUUGUAGUUGCUGUUACUGUAUUAUACAUUAGGUGAAGUGUUGUACAUUUGCAGCCUAUACAAUUCAUUACUUUCUUUCUGCACUUAAAGCACCAUAUAAGAGAAAUCAGUAUAGAAAUGGUGAAAAUUGCCACAUACCUCUGCUUCCAGGUGUCUAAAGAAGCAGUUUGGUGCAAAGGCUGCUGAGCACCGCAGCCCCCACAUUUGUCAGUAACAGUCACAGCUGCUCAGGACCUUCCCAAAGAGCCCCUUGUUUGGAUGCUCUGCCCCCAGUGCCUCGCGGUGCCCCACCAAGUAAGGAAAGUAUGGAGCUGAUCUGCUCAGCUUGUCUGGUCUGGAUGGGAAGUUUUCACUGUUGGGAAUUUGAAGCUACUCAGGUUUCCAGUAUUGGACUUGGCCAGUUAAAUAGUGCGUACUGUAAAGGUUAACGAAUUCAUCCUGGGAAUUAGCAUUCGUUAUUUGCUUUUCAUUAUUUUUUGUCUGCUCCAGUUCUGUAAAGUUGUUCAGUCCCUCAAUUAAGGAUCGUAAAAAAUAUAUGUGACCUGUCAGCUGUUUUGGAAACAAUCCAGAGAAUAUAUUCCCUAACGCCUGUCCUUGUGACAAAUUAGAGGCCAUAUAAGUGCUUUAGAUCACAAGUUAUAUGACCACAGGUGCGGUUUCUGGCCUGUAUGAGGUGGUUUUCCUAGAGCCAGAGGUUGAAGUCUAGAUCCUAUAUCUGUGUGGGUGAACCCUGACCUGGCUGACGGUGCAGAUGCAGAGACGGCACCAGUCAUCGCCCAGCACGUCUCAGGAGUCCCCACAGGUUCUUACACUGUCCUGCAGCAAGUACUGGCUGCUCUGAGGAGCCAGGCCCGAGGAGGAACACGACCACACACAGCAGCACACAGCCAUGGCCGGGUCAUGUUGGAACGCCUGCAGCCCGGUGGGAUUGGGCUGCAUGCUGGGCACUCUGAUGCUCCGGGGGAGAAGAGGUACACACACAGCACAUAAUUCCUUCUGCCUGUACAUGGGAGAUCAGGGCUCUUGGGAAAUGUGUGCACUGAUCAGAUGUAAACAAACGGCAUUUAUCCAGUUGCCUGCUAUGCUAACCAAAACGCUUUCAGACUGCAGAAAUAUCCUGAUAAGUUCAUCAAAUACUCAGAUAUAGUUGCAAAUAAUCAAAUAGACAUAUACUCGUAAGUACUUGGAUAGACACUAGCUUUUUUUCCAGAAAUGUGCACGUGCUGUUGAUGCCUUCUCUAGAAAUAGCGUAGUAUUUUUUCUAGCUUUGUUGGUUCAUUGAACUGCCUCUGCUAUCUUGAGUGGUUGAGCACCCUUAACGCUAGAGCUAUGAACCCCAUUAUCUGGAAAGGUAUAGCUCAGGAAGAAAGAUGUUUUUAGGUCAAUGAGAGCUGUAGAGUGCUGGUGCUGUGGCUGUGUGAUCAACUCACCUUUUCAAUAGGAGAUGUGCUAAGAAGAAGCCAAGUGUAUUCCUGUGAUUCCUGGUGCAUUUUCAUCAACAGCUCACCAGAAUAUGAAUUUUUAAUGUGUCUUGCUCACAGAUCCAUAGGAAAUGAUUAUUCUGUAUUCUCAGUCUCUAAAACUAAAUAAAUUCUGGCUUUGAGUAA